GGCUCAAGAAAGACCAUUGAGUUCAAAGCAGUGAUGUUUGGAUCAGGCAGUAGAUGAGGUUAAGGGUUCCUGUGGUGGUUUAUUUGGUAAGCCCGAGAAUUUGCAUUUCUGACAAGAUCCCAGGAUCUGAACGUCUAUGACACUCUUUCGAGCUGACACAGUGAAGAACAUAGAAGGAGAACUCACCCAGUCUGCCAGGGUCACAGAAUGAUCAUACUCAAGAUCUUCCUGGGGAGUCAAUGGCAAAUUUCACUGGG
rnacentral:lncRNA from 1 species